GAAAAGCAGUACUAACUAUGGCAAUCAUAUACAAAGAAGCUAUCAUUGAUCCAGUUACUCGAGAUCAUUAUAUACACAAUCCAUUAGGCCCGGUGACCACAUUCUGUACUGUUAACAGUGGGUUAAAAAAUUCUGCUCACAAAAAUUUUUAUACUGCCAUUUUUACGUCGGUCCUUAAGACGAUGUAGUGAUGACUAUUUCAAUGAAACUUACUAAAAAAGUUUUAUUCAAUGCAAUAGCCCAGAUAUUUGUUAAUUUUUUUUUUUUAAUUACUAAUUUUAAUUUAUGUUCUAUUUAGUAUAUAUAUCCAUAUUAUUUAGUAUAAGGACUUUAAAUAGUACAUUUACAAUCAAGCGUAAAUAAAGUGUUUCAUUCAAAUACA